rnacentral:rRNA from 1 species
AGCGAACGCUGGCGGCAGGCCUAACACAUGCAGGUCGAGCGCCCAGCAAUGGGAGCGGCAGACGGGUGAGUAACGCGUGGGGAUCUGCCCAAUGGUACGGAAUAACCCAGGGAAACUUGGACUAAUACCGUAUGUGCCCUUCGGGGGAAAGAUUUAUCGCCAUUGGAUGAACCCGCGUCGGAUUAGCUAGUUGGUGAGGUAAAGGCUCACCAAGGCGACGAUCCGUAGCUGGUCUGAGAGGAUGAUCAGCCACACUGGGACUGAGACACGGCCCAGACUCCUACGGGAGGCAGCAGUGGGGAAUAUUGGACAAUGGGCGCAAGCCUGAUCCAGCCAUGCCGCGUGAGUGAUGAAGGCCUUAGGGUUGUAAAGCUCUUUCGCCGGUGAAGAUAAUGACGGUAACCGGAGAAGAAGCCCCGGCUAACUUCGUGCCAGCCGCCGCAGUAAAAC